UACGUAGGGGGCGAGCGUUAAUCGGAAUUACUGGGCGUAAAGCGUGCGCAGGCGGCUCGCUAAGACGGGUGUGAAAUCCCCGGGCUUAACCUGGGAAUGGCGCUUGUGACUGGCGGGCUGGAGUACGGCAGAGGUAGGUGGAAUUCCUCGUGUAGCAGUGAAAUGCGUAGAUAUGUGGAGGAACACCGAUGGCGAAGGCAGCCUCCUGGGCCAGUACUGACGCUCAUGCACGAAAGCGUGGGGAGCAAACAGG
rnacentral:rRNA from 1 species